CGCUAGGUGGCGCAACGGUAAGCGCGCCGGUCCUCCGGUGACCGGAGAUGGGGGUUCGAAUCCCUCCCUAGCGA